rnacentral:lncRNA from 1 species
UAGGAGAAUGACCCCUGGGUCGUCUCUCAAGUACCAAAUGUUGGUUCAAGAAAUAGGUCGAACACGUGGUGGGGUGGUUUUGUGGACAGUUUUGUGAACUAAAAUGAACCAAAUUAAACACAAAUGCAAACACAAAUUUAAAAUGAUUGGUCUCUAGCUCAAUCACAUGCUUCUGAUCACAAAUUAACAAUAAUUACCCACUCC